CUACGGGCUGCAGCAGUGAGGAAUUUUGCGCAAUGGGGGGAACCCUGACGCAGCAACGCCGCGUGAGUGAUGAAGGCUUUCGGGUCGUAAAGCUCUGUCAAGUGGGAAGAACCUAUGCAGUGUUAAUAUCACUGUAUACUGACGGUACCACUGAAGGAAGCACCGGCUAACUCCGUGCCAGCAGCCGCGGUAAUACGGGGGGUGCAAGCGUUAUUCGGAAUCAUUGGGCGUAAAGGGCACGUAGGCGGCUUGGUAAGUCGGGUGUGAAAGCCCGGGGCUUAACCCCGGAAGUGCAUUUGAUACUGUCAGGCUUGAGUAUGGGAGAGGGAAGUGGAAUUCCUGGUGUAGAGGUGAAAUUCGUAGAUAUCAGGAGGAACACCGGUGGCGAAGGCGACUUCCUGGACCAAUACUGACGCUGAGGUGCGAAGGCGUGGGUAGCAAACAGGAUUAGAUACCCUGGUAGUC
rnacentral:rRNA from 1 species